GGAAGCAGCAGGAAACAGGUUGGCUUAACUGCACCGCUUGGGGAGUGAGGAUUUUUCACACCGCAAAGUGACAUAGUUAAGUCAAUCUAUUUUUCUAGUGUAGACCAAGCCUAAGGCUGACAGGAAGACUUGACACAGUCAUGCUGGGUGCAGAGAAAUGCUUGGGUAUUUAUCACUCCAAAUGGUCAGAAAAACUUUGACAUUCUAGGACAGAGUCUUAUCCAAGGCUUAUUGAAGUCAAUGGACUUUGGAUCAGACCCAGAAUCCAGAACUGAACUAUAACUAGAAGGAAGUGUUAUUGCUUGAAGGCAAGCUGACACUUCACUGUUAUGGCAGAAUUAGCUCUGGGGGCCACCAAUAGUCCAUGAACCAAAGUGUGGGAACCUGAGCUUUAAAUAUCAGUAUUGUAUCUGUCCAAAUUAGACCAAAAGAUUGUAUGGGAGGGGGAAGGUCAUAGUCCAUGGCCUUGUAUAAAUUAUAAAUAAGUUUAAAAUGCACUAACAUAUUUUCAUUUAAAAAUGAAACAUUGAAACCCUUUCCUCAUUUUAUCUGUAAAGCCCUGAGUUGUUCUUGAUUCUUUGACCCUUCUGCAAAUAUUGCUAAUGCUGCAAGAACCGAAAACAGAACAGAAAAAGAUGGUGCUUUGCAUAUAUUGGGAAUGCCGUUAGCUCAUUCAAGAUACGGAGAGUCUUGGAUUCAGCUCCAUCAGGCUACUUCAUUGGAUUGCAGAUUGUAGACAGCUGGGGAACAUGUCACUCAAAAGGAAGUUGGGUGUUUUGAAGAAGUGUGCUCUCAGAAAAUUCUACAAUCCAGAAGACGUAGAGGAAGAUUCUCCAGUGCUCCAGAUGUACAUGGGAAAAAAGGAAGAUGUGAAGAGACCCUUCCACAUCUGCCAUUUGAGGACAGCAGUUUCCAUGGUUUAGAAUCUUAGCUGAGUAAAUGAGGGCUUGAAAACUCAGUCAAGAAUGGUUCAAAACCAAAAGCUGUCUUCAAAGUAGAAAACCAGAGGGGAAACUUAGACGCAUGAUUCAUAGCCAGCUCGUCUUCUCGAAUAAUGUCUGCCACUCUCUUUUGAGCAGUUGAUUAAAAGACAUUGACAAUAGGUGAGUAAUAGAAAAACCCAGUGGGGCUAUAAUAAAUUGAAUGGUAUUUUGCCAUGGAAAUAAGGAAUACAGGUUGUUCCUCCACCUCCUGAAGAUGAGGCACAUCUUAUCAUUUCCUUUAGGUAACCUUAAAAGAGAAGACUUUAGAGGGAAAAAAUUAGCAGGAGAAGAAGCUGACAGCCAACCAGCACUGGAGUGAGCUUCACCAUUAUAGCUGCCAUCCUCACCAUCUCCUCGGACCCCAGGAGCCAGCAUGACACCAUUGUGCUGCCUUCAACCUAACCCUGAGGACUAUCCUAACCAAACAGACCAGAUGACACCCUACCUGCAUUGGCUCUGGCUAAAUCCCAAACAGCUGUGAUGUGAGACUUUGUCACCGUCCUUUGUUACCCCCAUGUCCUUUUCCUUCCCUACCUCAUUUCUCCUCUCUCUCUCUCUCUCUCUCUCUCUCUCUCCAUCUAUCUAACAGGAGUCUGGCUUAGCUGCCCAAAACUGUAUGUUUUGCAACAGUGCUAUACACCUGUGCCCAGAGAGGCAGCUAAAAGCAAUGCCCAGAACAGCCCCAUGCUGGCACAAGUUUGCCAGGUCUCAGAGUGGCUGAUCAGACCAUGUGUAUGCCUGUGUUUUUCCAGCAGUGAAGGUGCAAGUGAGAGUCAAUGCUAGAAACUGCAUUUUCUACCUUUUGUUCGUGUGCGUGCGUGUGCGUGCGUGUGUGUGUGGUUUUGUCUUCUAGGAAACAGCAACAGCCCCAGCUCCAGCCAUCCGCUUCUUGCGAAGUUAAUACUGUACUAUCUUAAAGACUGUCAGACAUGGGGGAGGGUUCUUUCUAAAUAUUCUUUCCAGAUAACCGGGGUGGGGACGUGCUAAAAUGAAACACUUACUCAGUACUUUAUAUUUCAAAUGCUUUAACUGUUUUCCCUUUUUCUGUAUCUUCUAAUAAAAGGUGAAGAAAAUUAAUGGUGUGUUUGCCCUAGUACUGAGCAGCUGAAGUCUCUGUAUACCAGCCCUUGACCUUGUUUACAACUGUACAGUGCUGGACAAUUACAGGUUCCUGCCUGGUAACACCUUUACCUCGCUGAAAGUAAUUGAGGUGUUACCUCGCUGAAAGCUGUUCUGGCUCCUCCCCGCAAACUGGAAGGGACCCUACCAUUGGGCCCAUUGAAAAUAAUACAUCAGGCCCAAUGUUAGGGUCCCUUACAGUUUGUGGGGAGGAGCCAGAACAGCUGCAUGGAAUGUGGGAGCUGGCUGGCUGAGGGGGGCUGGCACCUAAGCUGACCAGUCAGUGUGAGAGAGACAAACAGCCCCCUCAGCCCAGCUGAGGUAGGGAAGGAAAAGGACAUGGGGGUGACAAAGGACGGUGACAAAGUCUCACAUCACAGCUGUUUGGGAUUUAGCCAGAGCCAAUGCAGGUAGGGUGUCAUCUGGUCUGUUUGGUUAGGAUAGUCCUCAGGGUUAGGUUGAAGGCAGCACAAUGGUGUCAUGCUGGCUCCUGGGGUCCGAGGAGAUGGUGAGGAUGGCAGCUAUAAUGGUGAAGCUCACUCCAGUGCUGGUGGUGAAGAAUCCCCUCCUUGCCCAGAUGCAGUAAGGAGCUGGCCAGGGUCUCUCCAGCCUUCCCCUCCUCCCUGACCAAAACUAGGACUGGCUGACAGGCACAAACAAGUCUGGGUGCUAUCUGUGAGCAGGGCACUAAAUGUGAUCAGAACUCCCUUGAGCCUAGCAGAUCAUACAGGCAUAUUGAUACAUGGGUCAGGGCUAUGGUCAGUGGGGGAUUGCUCACACAGUUACUUAUGGAAUCAGCCAUUCCUUAUGUCUGCAUUCACCUACUGCAGAGGUCACCAACUGGUCGAUCGCGAUCGACUGGUCAAUCCUAGAGGAUCUCCCAGUUGAUUGUGAUCUCCGGCGGCACAAUGGGGCUGUCCAGGCCCCAUGCCGCUCCCGGAAGUGGCCAGCAUGCCCCGCGGCCCUGGGGAUGGCGGGGCAGGGGUCUCCCUCCACUCGCUGCUCCUGCCUGCAAGCACCACCCCCGUAGCUCCCAUUGGCUGGGAACAGGGAGCUGUGGCCAAUGGGAGCUGGAGAGGGACAGUGCAUGGAGCUAGGGGCCACAGGAGUAUGUUGGUCCCUUCCAGUAGCGGUGUGGGGCCGGGUUAGGCAGGGAGCCUGCCUUAGUCUUGCUGCGCUGCCGACCAGGAGCCGCUGGAGGUAAGUGCUACCUGGCGGGAGGCCGCACCCCAACCCCUG